rfam:Triticum urartu cultivar G1812 contig185576, whole genome shotgun sequence.
GAUGUACUCCCUCCGUCCGGAAAUACUUGUCCGAGGAAUAGAUGUAUCUAGAUGUAUUUUAGCUCUAGAUACAUUCGUUUGUAUUCAUUUCUUCGGACAAGUAUUUCCGGAAGGAGUAACUGAUUA